CUAACACAUGCAAGUCGAACGAAGUAGCAAUACUUAGUGGCAAACGGGUGAGAAUAAUGUGGGUCAUCUGCCCAUUGGCUCGGAAUAACAUGGGGAAACUUAUGCUAAUACCGGAUAAGCCUUUACAGGGAAAGCUUUAUGCACCGAUGGAUGAGCCCGCACUUGAUUAGCUAGUUGGUAAGGUAAUGGCUUACCAAGGCUACGAUCGAUAGCUGAUCUGAGAGGAUGAUCAGCCACAUUGGGACUGAGACACGGCCCAAACUCCUACGGGAGGCAGCAGUGGGGAAUCUUGCACAAUGGGGGAAACCCUGAUGCAGCGAUGCCGCGUGAGUGAAGAAGGCCUUUGGGUUGUAAAGCUCUUUCGUCGGGGAAGAAAAUGACUGUACCCGAAUAAGAAGGUCCGGCUAACUUCGUGCCAGCAGCCGCGGUAAUACGAAGGGACCUAGCGUAGUUCGGAAUUACUGGGCUUAAAGAGUUCGUAGGUGGUUAAGAAAGUUGAUGGUGAAAUCCCAAGGCUCAACCUUGGAACUGCCAUCAAAACUUUUUAGCUAGAGUGUGAUAGAGGGAAGUGGAAUUUCUAGUGUAGAGGUGAAAUUCGUAGAUAUUAGAAAGAACACCGAUUGCGAAGGCAGCUUCCUGGAUCAUUACUGACACUGAGGAACGAAAGCAUGGGUAGCGAAGAGGAUUAGAUACCCUCGUAGUCCAUGCCGUAAACGAUGUGUGCUAGACGUUGGGAAUUUUAUUUUCAGUGUCGCAGCAAAAGCGUUAAGCACACCGCCUGGGGAGUACGACCGCAAGUUAAACUCAAAUGAAUGACGUCA
rnacentral:rRNA from 1 species